rnacentral:tRNA from 1 species
GGCGGAGUAGCUCAGUUGGUAGAGCAGCGGAAUCAUAAUCCGUGGGUCGCUGGUUCGAGUCCGGCCUCCGCUACCA